GCCAGUGUAGCUCAGCGGCAGAGCAACGGUUUCGUAAACCGUAGGUCGUCGGUUCGACCCCGACCACUGGCUCCA
rnacentral:tRNA from 1 species